rnacentral:rRNA from 1 species
AUGGAGGUGAAGGUGCUGAGCUCCAGGCUCGUCAAGCCCGCCUACAAGGCCGGCGCUCCAGCCACGGAGCACAUCCCCCUGUCCGUCUUCGACACGGUCACGUACCAGAUCCAGAUGGCCAUCAUCUACGCCUUCGCGCCGCCCGCGCCGUCCACCGCCGCCAUCGAGAAGGGCCUCACGGCCGUCCUCGCGCAGUACCGCGCGUUUGCCGGGCAGCUCGGCGAGUCCCCCGACGGCGCGCCGGCCGUGGUCCUGAAUGACCGUGGCGCACGCCUCGUGGAGGCGUCCGUGGACGCCGACCUCGUCGACAUGGCGCCGGCCAAGCCCACGCCGGCGCUGCUCAAGCUGCACCCGGACCUGGACGCGGAGCACCAGGAGGUGGUGGUGCUGCAGCUCACGCGGUUCCGCUGCGGCUCCCUCGCCGUCGGGUUCACGUCCAAGCACGUCGUCGCCGACGGCCACGCCACCAGCAACUUCCUAGUCGCCUGGGGCCGCGCCACCAGGGGGCUGCCCAUGGGCGUCCCGCCCGUGCACCACCAGAAGGACCUCUUCAAGCCGAGGUCCUCGCCAGCUCGCCCGGAGCACGACCACCGCAGCAGGGAGUACCACCGGCCGUCGCCCACCGCCGCCGCCGCCGGCCACCAUCACGGGGACGACGGCGCCGAAAGCAACAUCGUCAUCCACAAGGCGCACUUCACCAAGGACUUCAUCGCGGGGCUCCGCGCCAGGGCCUCGGAGGGGCGCGGGCGGCCGUUCAGCCGGUUCGAGACCAUCCUCGCGCACCUCUGGCGCACCAUGACGCGCGCGCGCGACCUGAGCCCCGGCGAGGCCACGUCGAUCCGGAUAUCGGUGGACGGGCGGCACCGGGUGGGCAGGCCGGCGGAGUACUUCGGCAACCUGGUGCUCUGGGCGUUCCCGCGGGCCACGGCGGGCGAGCUGCUGAGCCGGCCGCUGAAGCACGCGGCGCAGGCGAUCCACGACGAGGUGGCGAGGGUGGACGGCGCCUACUUCCAGUCCUUCGUUGACUUCGCGUCCUCCGGCGCGGCGGAGAAGGAGGGGCUGGCCCCGAGCGCCGUGCUCAAGGACGUGGUGUGCCCGGACGUGGAGGUGGACAGCUGGCUGACGUUCCCGUUCUACGAGCUGGACUUCGGCACGGGGAGCCCCAGCUACUUCAUGCCGUCCUACUUCCCGACGGAGGGGAUGCUGUUCCUGGCGCCGUCCUACCUCGGCGACGGCAGCGUAGACGCCUUCGUCCCCGUCUUCCGGCACAACCUGCAGGCCUUCAAGGAAUGCUGCUACUCCAUGGAGUAG